GGAGUCUAGCAUGUGCGCGAGUCAUUGGGACACGUUGCUAAACCUAAAGGCGUAAUGAAAGUGAAGGCGCGCCUUGCGCGCGCCGAGGGAGGAUGGGCGAGACGUUCGCGCGUCGUCGCCCCGCACUCCCGGGGCGUCUCGUUCUCAUCGCGAGAAGAGGCGCACCCAGAGCGUACACGCUGGGACCCGAAAGAUGGUGAACUAUGCCUGGUCAGGACGAAGUCAGGGGAAACCCUGAUGGAGGUCCGUAGCGAUUCUGACGUGCAAAUCGAUCGUCGGAACUGGGUAUAGGGGCGAAAGACUAAUCGAACCAUCUAGUAGCUGGUUCCCUCCGAAGUUUCCCUCAGGAUAGCUGGCGCUCGCUUUUGCGAGUCUCAUCCGGUAAAGCGAAUGAUUAGAGGCAUUGGGGUCGAAACGGCCUCAACCUAUUCUCAAACUUUAAAUGGGUGAGAUCUCCGGCUUGCUUAAAGCUGUGAAGCCGCGAGAUCGGAUCAGAGUGCCAAGUGGGCCACUUUUGGUAAGCAGAACUGGCGCUGUGGGAUGAACCAAACGCGGAGUUAAAGCGCCUAAAUCGACGCUUAUGGGAUACCAUGAAAGGCGUUGGUAACUUAAGACAGCAGGACGGUGGCCAUGGAA
rnacentral:rRNA from 1 species